CUUGACCGAGCCGAGCCACAGCGGCUCUGCGCGGUCACGGCCGUACGUCGCCAUCAGGGCCUGCGCCUC
rnacentral:antisense_RNA from 1 species